CAAAACCCUUCACCUAAAACCGGAAGCUACCCAGACCUCAGAAUUUUAGAUGUCUAUUAAGUUGGCGGUCCCCAGCAGUUCUUUAUAGAAGUGUGAAAACAGACUAAUACAAUCCUGAAGCAUUUCAUCAAAGAAUUGUAACAGGAGAUGAAACAUGGCUUCACCAGUAUGAUCCUGAAGAAAAAGUGCAAUCAAAGCAAUGGCUAUCAAGAGGAGGAAGUCAAAGCAAAGCAGACCAGUCAAGAGCAAAGGUUGGAGUGGCUCUAGUGACAACUCACUCUGUUCUCAUGGUCAUAAAUCCCUGCUCAUUGCUGCCACUGCUGCUGCUACCACAGACCAAGAGCUCCACUUGCACAGUGCUGCUGGCUAAGAAGAAGUUGCUGUACCUGAGCCCUGGACCACAUGGACUCACAGAGACUCCCAACCAGGUCUGCUGCAGUUUGCUGGAGGUCCACUCCAGACCCUAUGUACCUGGAUAUCACCAGCGGAGGCUGCAGAAUAGCAAAGAUUGCUUCCUGGUCCUUCCUCUGGAAGCUUCAUCCCAGAGGGGCACUGGCCUGAUGUCAGCUGGAGCUCUCC
rnacentral:lncRNA from 1 species